GACGGAGGAUGCAAGUGUUAUCCGGAAUCACUGGGCGUAAAGCGUCUGUAGGUGGUUUAAUAAGUCAACUGUUAAAUCUUGAGGCUCAACUUCAAAAUCGCAGUCGAAACUAUUAGACUAGAGUAUAGUAGGGGUAAAGGGAAUUUCCAGUGGAGCGGUGAAAUGCGUAGAGAUUGGAAAGAACACCAAUGUCGAAAGCACUUUACUGGGCUAUCACUGACACUGAGAGACGAAAGCUAGGGUAGCAAAUGGG
rnacentral:rRNA from 1 species